UACGUAGGUGACAAGCGUUAUCCGGAAUUACUGGGCGUAAAGCGCACGCAGGCGGCGCAUUAAGUCUGAUGUGAAAUCUCCCGGCUUAACUGGGAGGGGUCAUUGGAAACUGAUGUGCUUGAGGCGGUGAGAGGGGUGUAGAAUUCCCGGUGUAGUGGUGGAAUGCGUAGAGAUCGGAAAGAACACCAACGGCGAAAGCACUCUGCUGGGCCGACACUGACACUGAGAGACGAAAGCUAGGGGAGCGAAUGGG
rnacentral:rRNA from 1 species